rnacentral:sRNA from 1 species
AAGUGCUUCCUUAGAGCUCCCCUAGAGCACAACUCGCUCAGCAACUCUUGAGCCUCCUUUGCUAAUCCCUCGCUAGCUAAACCCUUAAUAAGCAUAGUGUAGGUAGAUUCAUUGGGCAUGCAUCCAUUUGACACCAUAUAAGCAAAGAAAUCGAUAGCACGAUCAGUUUCCCAUCUUUUACAAAGCGAAGAAAUAACAGCAUUGUAGAGCACUGCAUCAGACCUUAUUGUGGUAUCUUUAAUGUUGUCAAACAUCUGAAUAACCUUGUUAACUCUGCCUUCUCUAGAUAGAGCACAAGCUAUUGAUGAAUAAAUUAUUGUAUUUGGGCUGAUCCCUUUAUUGACCAUCACAUUUAGUAGCUCGAGUGCUUCCUCCGUCUUGCCAGCUUUGCCAAGUCCAUCAAUCACCGUACUAUAACUAAUCAAGUCAGGACUGCAUCCAUUCACUAGCAUCUGCUUAAGAAGUUCAAUGGCCUGCUCAACCAACCCUUUUUUGCACAAGAAAUUGAUUAGUUAUAACUGACAGUAUUUGGCUUGCAUCCACAUGAUGACAUGCUUUUAAGCAACAUGACAGCUUCAUCGAUAAGCCCUUCUUUGCAAAAUCCAUUGAUUACAGUUGUGUAUGUGAUGACAUCCGGCAUGCAUCCAUGGCUCAACAUUUGCUCAAGAAGUUCAAUCACCCUGUCGACCAACCCAUUUUGGCAAAAGAAAUCAACAAGAAUAUUGAAUGUCACAUCAUCAAGGGGGCAGUCCUUCUGAAACAUCUCAGACAGUAAUUCCUCAGCUUCCUUCCACCGCUCAGCACUGCACAGGCCUUUCAACACGGUGUUGUAGCAAACAACAUUAGGCUUGAGACCAUACGAAGGCAUCCUAUUCAAAAUCUCAUUCGCAACCUCCAGAUGCCCUUCCUUGCAGAUCCCAUCGAUGAUAGUCGCGUACAUUCUGAUGUC